GAAUACAUCAGAUAAGAAGGGUAAUAGAUCCUUUUCUAGACUUUGAUUUUUCAUUUUUCUACUAGUUCAAAUUUGAAAAUUUGCUGAAUCAUGAUAUACCUUGAAUUUGAAUACCCGGCUAUAAAUCGAGUAUUAUCAUCGUUUUUAAUUUCAGCUUCAUCUGGGCGUGAAUAAUGGGGGACUGAAUUUUUCCAUUGAGCGUCAGGCAGUAAAUGAAGCCAGUUUUUGUUGUCCUGAUGAGCUCGGGUGGCAACCUCAGGUAGGUUUUUGCUAACUUUUGCUUUAUAAGGUAACUAAUACAGUUUGUCUGAAUUCGAUUUGGUUUUUCAGCAACUGCCUAUAAUUCUUGGAGAUGGAGGAAUACAUCAGAUAAGAAGGGUAAUAGAUCCUUUUCUCGACUUUGAUUUUUCAUUUUUCUACUAGUUCAAAUUUGAAAAUUUGCUGAAUCAUGAUAUACCUUGAAUUUGAAUACCCGGCUAUCAUGUUUGCCAAGAAAAUUAGAGAGUACAAGACAAUUAAAUAAGAAAAUUUUGUUCACAAUAAUGUCAAGUAAAGUCUACUACUGCUUAUCAGCCAUACUCUGUAUGGCUUCAGUCUUCAUGUAUGCACUAACAUUUAUCUAUCGGUUUUCCGU
rnacentral:lncRNA from 1 species